AUACAGUGCUGGGAUUAAAGCUGUGAGGCACCACAACCAGCAGAAACCCAUUAGUUUAUAAUAUGAUGAACGUGGCUCACACACACUCCGGGGCCAUAGUCACUCAUGUAUGCUUCUAGAACUAAGUGUCUCUAUCCUUCUCUCCAACAGUUAGUGUACCAGUUUUCAAGAGGGUUUCUCCUCAUUGACACUCUUCUGUCCUCAUGGGGAAGACUUUGCCUACUCUAGUUGUUUCAGUUUUUUAAAAUUAUUUUUGCUUUAUGUAUAUAGCAAAUAUAAAAUGUUUGCCUGCAUUUGUGUAUGUGUGCCUGGAGCCUGCAGAGACAAGUGUCCCUGACACUGGAGUUGCAUAAGGUCAUAGUGCUACAGUAGUGAAAUGACACAUACCUUUAAUCCAAGCACUCCAGAGGCAGAGGCAGGCUGAAGCCAGUCAGGGACACUGUGAGACCUUGUCUCAAGGAUGCUAGGAGCUGUCAGUAACAAAGAUACAAGGGCUUUAAAGAUGACUGUGGGCAGAGGUACUUGCUGCCAAGCCUAAUGACCUGAGAUUGGUCACCUGAGACAACAGCUUCUGAAAAUUGUCCUCUAAUCUCCCUGUGUAUGCCGUGGUACACACAUACUCACACAUAUACAUGUACAUAGGCAUACAUCGAAAUAUAAUGAAAAAUCAGUAACAUAGUGUUAGUGGCUUUUUAAUAAGUGUUACAGUUUUCCUCUUACCCAGCUAGCUUCCAAAUAACUGAUACUGGACUAUUAUAUUUAUCAAGUUUUAAUGGCACAACAAGUGAGUGGUAUUUACUCUAUUUUCAUCCUCUAAGCUAAUCUUGCUGCCUCCCAGCCAAAAUCCCAGAAAUACUUGUAUUUUAUGGCUUUCUCUGCUCAAGCUGUUUUCUCCUGCUUUCUCUUGGACUCUCUCCCUGCUCCACCCUCUGCCCUGGCUAGGAGGAAGUCCAGUGUGGAAAGAAUCUCUUAAAAGAAUCACCAAAAGUCUCUAGUCAUCAUCCUGGGAGCAGGGGCUAAGGGGACAACAGAUUUUUUAUUUUAAUAGUCCAGUCCAAGCCGGGCGUGGUGGUGCACGCUUUACUCCCAGCACUCGGGACGCAGAGGCAGGCGGAUUUCUGAGUUUGAGGACAGCCUGGUCUACAAAGUGAGUUCCAGGACAGCCAGAGCUAUACAGAGAAGCCCUGUCUUGAAAAACUCAAAAAAAAAAAAAAAAAGGCCAGCCCUAUCCUCUUCUCUGCUCAAUCAUUGGCUGAUCAGCUUUUUUAUUGACCAGUGAGGGAAUAACUGGGGAGUAAUAGUUAGGUUUACAACAUUGAAACAAGAUAUUCUCAGAAUAAGGAUUGUAAGCAGAUAUGGGAGCACAGAAAUCAGCGUUUGAAUAAUGCAGGUCUAACCUCAAACACUGCACAGGAGCAUUAUGCCGGCCACAGGAGAGGACAGAGGACAGAGCUCAGUUGCUGGAGCAUUUCCCAGUGUGAGAAAAGAGACUGUGAAACAAACCAAAGAAAGUUUUAAUUUUGUUUAUUUGUAAGUUUUGAGACAAGGUCUUUCUAUGUGUCCCUGGCUGCCUGGAACUCAAUAUGUGUACCAGGUUGACCCCAAAUUCCAAAGAGUUCCGCCUGACUCUGGCUCUCUAUUUCUGAGAUUAAAGGGUAUGUGUCACCUUGAUACACCAAAAGAAAAUUAGUAUUAGAUAUAGUUGGCUUGAGUCAAAAAUAAAUGAAACAGAAGAAAUAAAGGCACAUUGUCUUGGGAGGUUGGGGAAAGAGAAUCAGAAGUUAAAGUUUUUUUGUACAUAGUUUGGGGCAAGCUAAGGUUCAAGACAUACACCUUGUCUCAAUAAAAUAAUUAGUGUACAGGUCCUGAUGGAACAGGCCGCAUCCCCCAUACUCAAGAAGCUGAGAUGGGAGAAUCUCAAGGUCUGGGCAACUUGGUGAGGCCUACUCAGAAAUUACAACAAGCAAGGCCUGGGGCUGGAGCACACAGCAUUGGAGCAAUGGCUCUUCAUCAGGUUCAGUUCCCACACAGCUCAGUGAAAACAAAACAAUGCUAACUAAAGACCUGAGCUAGGUUGCCAAGAAAUGGAGCCAUAUGGUUUGUAGAGUUUCUCUUUAUACCUUUUAAAUUUUAAUCUGGCCUGUGUUCCUCAAAAGUACUUUUCCCCCUUGAGACAGGGUCUCAGUAUGUAACCCUGGAUGGCCUUGAAUUAACUAUUUAAACCAGCCUGGCCUCCUGUGAUGGUCAAGCCCUGUCUUGUAGCUUAACAUUUUAUUUGUCUGGCCCUUUAGUGUUGGUUGCAUCUUGGAAUUCUGGGAACAGGAGGGCAUAAAAAAAUAACAAAAAAAGCCUGCAGAGACUGGCAGAAAGGGAGUGAGAUUCAGGUGUGGGGCUGAGGAGGUUCCAGGAGACAAAAGAAGAGGGUCAGAGAGUAGGGUUAGAAAAGAAGACAGUUGAUGAUAGCUGAGACAGAGAAGAUAUUGUUAGGAGACAGAAGAACCCACAAAGUAGUAAAUAAAGAAAAAGUAACAAUAAAAGCUACAGUUGGUGACCAAAGUGGGGCAAUUUGUAGGAAAAAGAAACAUUAAGAGACAAGUGCCACCAAUGUGGCAGGGCAGCAUGGGAGGCUUGGUUUCAAGUACAGUAAAGCAGAAGCCGGGAAAAGGAGGAACGGAUAGAUGCUUUGUUUCAGAAGCCAACGGGGUUUGCUGGGGCUGUUUCUGGGACAUGCUUCCUUCCCAUGGUUUUUUGCAGCAGGCCCUAGUCAUCAUCUCCUCCUCCCCUCUCCCCAUCCUCUUUUUAUGUUGCUGCUGCUGUUUUUCCUCAUUUCGGGAUAUUUUGUUUAUAAAAUACUAGCUGAGCAACUGGGGAAAAAUUAAGGUGAAAUUAAAGAAGCUCGGUAUUUAAAAAAAAAAAAAUAAGGAAAACAACAAAUAGAUUCAUUCCCAGUGACUGAACCAGAGAGAGGAAGUUUCCCCCAGGUAGAAGGAAGGGAAAGAACUGUAUCAAAAGGCAGUCAAGUCAAAAAGGAAAAGAAAGAAAAACAGGAGGAUGGUCAGAUAGAGUUAAACCCACAGCACUCAGUCACAAAAUCAACAGCAUUUCCAAUAGUAGUUGGAAUAAUCUUUUUGUAUACUUGUGUGUGGGGUCCGUCCUUUCCUGUCUAAGGCACCCUCUCAUCGAUUGAUUUAAUAAAGAUCUGACUAUGGCUGAGGCAGGAGAGGAAAGUGGGCAGAGAGGGGGGACAGGGAAAGAAUCGGGUGGGAGGUUUUGCCAGCCAGGCGUGGAGGAAGGAACAGUUGUCCAGAAUGAAGUAGACAUAAUGAGCCACAUGGCAAAGGUGGGUUAGUACAACCUAAUUGGGAACAAGACUAAGCUAUAAGGCCUAAGUUUUCAUAAAUAAAAAUAAUUCUCUGUGUCAUUAUUGGAAGCUGGUGGUGGUUCAAGACAGUCUGGUGCAUCGAAUGUGGGGCUAGAAAUCCAAGCUUAGGGCCUGAGAAGAGUUCUGGAGGGAAGGUGGGGAAGAAGCAGUUUCCUAAGAGGGGAGGGCCACUAAGUCACUAGUAGAAGCCUGUGAGCAGGAGGUAAAGAAGUGGGGAACCAGAGCCUCCGUGCAAGACCUCUCAGGUAAGCAACUGCGCAGAGCUGGGUCAGAGCAUCCAGAGCUGGCCAGUGCCUGCUGGUGAACCACAGAACAGCACCUCUGUGACCCUGAGGUGGGGGAGGUAGGUGUGGCUCCCAACUGUUGUCCAGGAAAACUGGCAAGGGAAGCCUGCUAGACCAAGCAGAGCCAGGCAGAACCAGGUGACAAAAGGGCAGAUGGGACAUUUCACAGAUCCACAGUGGGACUGAAAAGCCCCUACUUUCUGAACAAUUAAUGUAUAAGUCUGAAAAUCAUGAAGUGACGUCUAUGAAGGAAGAAGAGAGUUACAGAGAUUUUAAAAAAUGUAUGUUCUGUUUUAAAAAAUGACUACCAUGACAAGACACUUGGAUUCCAUUUUAUUUUAUUUUGAUCAUCAUCAUACAAAUACUUACCUUUUUAGUAAUGAUUGCAAUUUUAUAUAUUCUUUAUAUGUUUAUAUAUUGUUUUAAGAAAGAUCAUAUUAAAUAAGGAGACUGAAAAAUUGAGCACUAGGGAUAGAACAGAUUAGACAAUCCUUUGGAUCAGAAUAAAAAAAAUUGUCAGGAAUCCAAUCUAAAACCUGUGGUGCCACCUUGUGAUGAGACUGCAGAAUGGCAGCUCAUAGAGAUGCAAUAUUCUACAUUAAGACUACAGAGUAUGUUUAGUGCCAUAUUAGAGCAAUGUCAUACAAUAAGUUAUGUCUCAUUUUGUGAGUUUGAAGUUUUAAAGUAUGUACAUGUGGUAACACAGCAUACAGUUGGUUUGUAUUCAGGACUUCAAGGGGCUUUCCUAAAUUGUGAAAAGGAUUAUUCCAAAACUGCACAUUUAUUAGAGAUAAUAGCUAUCUUGGGGAUGCCUUAGUAGAUUGAAACUAAUGAUACUCCAUGUGUAUCCAGUAGAAUAAAACAAUUUUUUAGACAUUAUGGCAUAAAACAUGUUACAGAUAUAACUUACAAUCAUGCAGGUCAAGUGAUUGUAAAAAGAUAUAACUACACUUUAAAGGAAAUGCUCAUAGAACAGAAGAGGUAAAACUUUUAAAUGCCAAUCAGGUAGCACAGCUGCAGGGGGGGGAAAAAAACCUGGAUUUUAGAAAGUACUGCUGAGUUAUCAGGCUAUGAAUGUCGUAAUCUCCGAAUGGAGGUCAGGAAAUGUAUUGCACUGGGGAGAGGUUAUGUCUGUGUUUCAUGUGUAUGAGAUGAAAUGCUGUGGAUUCCUUCAAAGUUAAUAAAGAUUAAAUUUGACCAGGGAAGACCUCCUGAAAAUCUUGGCUGCAGACAUGAAGAACCAAGCCAAGCACAACAACAAAACAUGUGAGAUGUAUGCGGAUCCCUCUACAUAGGGACAGCUCUGAGACGGGCUGAGAUAGGAAUGCCUUUUGUUGUUGUUAUCUUUUUUUUUUUAAUUUUUUUAUUAGGUAUUUUCUUCAUUUACAUUUCCAAUGCUAUGCCAAAAGUCCCCCAUCCCCCCCCCCCAGGAAUGCCUUUUUGUAGCCAAUAAUCUUGUUGGGUACCUGUUAGUGUCCUGAUUUUAUAUACUGUGUAAAGAUAGGGCUCUGUAUUCCUUGCAUACCUAAAGCACCUUCUGAUUGGUUAAAAUAAAAACCAUGUGACUUUAAAA
rnacentral:lncRNA from 1 species